GUCCACUGAUGAGACCAUGGCAAGUUUGAUGAUCCAGUCAGGCCAAGAGAUUGUGAUCUUGCCAGCUGUUAGGUGGGUAAUCUUGGUAGUGCGGUAGAGUCUUACUCCACUACUGUAAGGGCCCACGCAUAGUAAAACUGUCACCUUCUACAGCUCCGGCCCCCCCAAGAGAGAUGGGAUGGGAUGGGUAGGAGAUGUCAAACAAAGUGUGGAUGUUUGUUUGUUUUUGUGUGUGUGUUGUAUGAAUGUCCAUGUAGCAGCUGGCAAGAGUCUGCAUUCUCUGUGUAGCCUGGCAUGCAUGAAUUACUGUCUUUGGUAACCUAAGGGCA